rfam:Gossypium raimondii Chr13_contig_1305, whole genome shotgun sequence.
GAUCAUGCUUUUCCACAGCUUUCUUGAACUUUCUUUGUUUUCCAUCAUAAAAGAAUUAGCUAAUAGCUAGAUACAUGUAUAUAUAUGUGUAUGUAUAUACCAUGGAAGCUCAAGAAAGCUGUGGGAGAACAUGAUGA